CAAGACCGCCCUGGCCUGCCACGCCCCUAUAAUGUGCCUUUAAAAGCCCAAGACCGUCGCUAGGCACAGACGGAAGUGACUGGAUGUGGAGAGGAGUGUAUCCGCGAAGGAACGCACAAGUGGCCUGACCUGCAGAAGAACGCUAGCUAGGCACUAGGCAUGCCGGCAAGGUCAGCUGAGAGCUGACCCCAGUGCAACGUGGAGGAGUUUGGUUGGGGCAGUCGGAGGAGCACCUGGGCCGCCAAGCGGCCAGACUUCGGGGGAAAGCCAUCUCUCUUCUGGCGCCUUUAUCGGCAGAGAGCUACUUGUACUCAAAACCUUGCACUCAUUCUCCAAGCCCACGUGGGUAAGAUUCACCCACACUGCGGAGGGCGUCGGAGCUCCACAGCCUGCCUGUCUGUAUGCUCCCAUAGAGGUUUGAGCAGCGGGGCACUGGAGAAGCAAGUCACACCCCCAUUGCACGCCAUGGGAGUAGGACAAGACCACGGGUGACUCUGGGUAACUGAGACCUCAGGAAGUGAAACCUCAGAUAAAG
rnacentral:lncRNA from 10 species